CUACGGGAGGCACCAGUCGAGAAUCUUUGGCAAUGGACGAAAGUCUGACCAAGCGACGCCGCGUGCGGGAUGAAGGCCUUCGGGUUGUAAACCGCUGUCAGUUGGGAGGAAAUCACAUGGGGUCCUCUCCAUGUGUUGACCUAUCUUCAGAGGAAGGACGGGCUAAGUUCGUGCCAGCAGCCGCGGUAAGACGAACCGUCCAAACGUUAUUCGGAAUCACUGGGCUUAAAGGGUGCGUAGGCGGCCCUGUAAGUUGGGUGUGAAAUCCCUCGGCUCAACCGAGGAAUUGCGCCCAAUACUGCAGGGCUAGAGGGAGACAGAGGUGAGCGGAACUUGUGGUGGAGCGGUGAAAUGCGUUGAUAUCACAAGGAACACCUGUGGCGAAAGCGGCUCACUGGGUCUCUUCUGACGCUGAGGCACGAAAGCUGGGGGAGCGAACGGGAUUAGAUACCCCCGUAGUC
rnacentral:rRNA from 1 species